AAGCUUCCACAAGCUCCAGAACUUCUUCAAUAAUCCUCUUAUGAAGCUUUGUGCAAGAAUUGGCAAUGGAAACAGCUUGGAUCUAGCUUAAUUUUCAAGUUCCAUCUUCAUGUUCAUGCUUAUGAAUUUGCUCGAAUCUUGCUAAAUUUCAACAAAUAAUGGUUGAUCCUGGCUCAGAAUUCCAUGAGGAUGAAGAAUCUACAAAAAUCUUGAAGAGUUGUGU
rnacentral:lncRNA from 1 species